rnacentral:lncRNA from 1 species
UGCUGAUGUACCUCAUAGUUGGGCUGUACCUUCUUCAGGUGUCAAAUGUGAUGCUGUACCAGGUCGUUCAAAUAAUACCUCUAUUUUUAUACAACGAGAAGGAGUUUACUAUGGUCAGUGCAGUGAGAUUCGUGGAACUAAUCAUGCCUUUACGCGUGCGCCCGGAUACAUAGGCCGACAGCUGAGCCCACUCUGGCUUAGCCGCACCACCCGUGGUAGGGGUGCGAGCCACCCGAUAAGCAAGCUAUUACAGCGAGCCGCUUGAGCAGUAGGGAGCCGAGGAGCAAGGCAGUAGAUAAGAUCUAAUAUUGGGCCAGGCUCCCGGUAGAGCAGGGGAAACGGUUAGGAUAACCAACUUGAAACGCGGAGCCCGAGCGGCCGGCGAGCGAGUGGUUAGUGGCAAAUAGCGCCCUAGUUGAUGGCAUUCCUCUCUGCGGCUGGCACUAGAGGAACCACGGGACACUCCAUACAAAGGCAAACUCGUCUUAGGGAUGAGACGCCCGCGCAAGGACCUCAAUUCUCAUUAGGAGGUCGAACCAAGGAACUAUAGAAGUCGGGGAUACCCCGUCCCAUGGCAACGCAACAGUGUCCUGAGGAAGGAGUUUAGAGGCCUUAUAGUAGCACAGACCUUUAAUUCCAGGUCAUGCGAAGGGGGCCAGUCCAAGAUCUACAACUCUUCUUAUUAAAUGAAAAGACAAGAGACGCUCUCAACGGUUAGGCGCCACUCUAAGUUAUUCUCAAGCUUCCGAGAGGCGAAGGGAUUUCACCUAUGAUCUGAUUAGUAGGCAACCAACGUGUACUUUUCGUGUUGUUGACGUUGACUUUCAAGCUCAUUUGGAAGGAUUCUCGGAGCUACUCCCAGCUCAAACUAUGGUCGCAGAGGUCUCUUAGUUCAGAUCUAGGAGUGUGAGCAGUACGAGCGGAAAGGCUCUCAUACUGUUUUGAGGGAAGGGGGCUACGAUGCCAAACCUUACCCCUAUCCAUCGUCGUAGAAGCAGUUUCUUUGAAAGAUUAUGGUUCUCGGGUAUUCAAUCAAUUAAUCCUCCAAACCAACUAACCCGUGGAAGCGGAAGCAAUAGUAGGGUGAGGGAAGUGGGAAGCUCAAGGAAGGCUUCGCUCGCUCAAUUCGCUCGGUGGAGUGCAUAAGCCCUAUUUCUUUUAUUGAAGUAGUAGAGGCCUAACUACACGAGCUCGUAAGUCAGGAACGAGUCUUGUAUACGAACAGCUUCCCCUAGUCUUCUGUGCUUCUGGCGAAGCUUAACGCACUAUUCUAAUAUAGGCAUUAGAGGCUAACUCCUUUUAAGGCCGACCACUACAUAGGAGCGAUAGCGAAGCCAAGCCGUAUAAAGGCGAGCAGCCCUUAUAGCAAUAGCAAACGGCCUACUUAUAGCCCUAUUUCGUUUUAGCCUUUCCUUUCUUCAGGGACUUCAACUUACAAGCUCAUAAAUGUCAAUUCAUAAAUCCAGAGACCUGAGCUAGUGACCAAGAAAGACCCAAAUCCAAUAGAUCAAGAACGGCGAACCUACUUUCAUCAAAGAAUUCAUUGAAGACGUUAAUAAGGAUUUCGUGGAUGGAUAGAAGCACUAGCUACUCAAAUCGCUUCUAUAUACUUCUUUCUUAUUAAUGGCAGGAUAUCAAUCUAUCGAAUUCUAGGCCCAGAGCGAGCAGCAAUGGCAAAAGAUGGAGGAGAAUGUUGUGUUGUAUGGGAGGCAAGGCAGGAUAGGAUCUCUUUUAACAGCAAAAAGCUCGAAGCGAAAGAGGGCCGAUCCUACAUUCCAAAUAAUGAAGCGAAAGAGGGCCGAUCCUACAUUCCAAAUAAUAGCAUUCGCAGUGGGAAUCAAUAAGAGAGAGAGCUAUUUGCAUUCACAGACAGUAGGAAUCAAUAUUGGAAUUCGCGCCUCACCUUUCUUUCUUUGUGAAGAUUCGGGGUGGAGCCUUAGAACAGGCCAGGCCCCUUGGGACGGUUAGGAGCAUAAUGUCUUAACCACUAAUACCGCUUGGAGACAAACCAACCCAUAGGAAUCUGAUGCCUCUUUCAAUUGAUGCUCUUUAGUUCUGCUUUCUAUUCAUUCUCUUUUGUGCAAUUAUUCAGAAUGAUCGGCUAAUAGCAUAGCACUACGAUGAACUACGAGACGAGCAAAUAGCACUCUUCAUUAUAUACUUACUCGGAACUACGAGCAAAUUGCACUCCUCUUACGAGCCACUCCCUAAAGUAAUAGUAAUCUAAGCUCACUCCUCUUACGAGCCACUCCUCUUACGAGCAAAUAGCACUCCUCAUUAUAUACUUACUCGGAACUACGAGAAUAUUCCAUUCAUUCUAAAAACAUUUCUAGUAACUGACUGAAAAGGACUUAUGCAUCAGUCUUAUUCGCUCUGCUAGACAAAAAGCAGAAAUAUUACUAAAUCAAACGAGUCCUUCCUUAAAGAAUAAGGAUCCGGGGGUUUCCUAUUGGUCAAAUACUAGAGGCUGACUCGGGGAAUUAGGAUAACCCUCUUUGCUUUCGAUAAAGGGGCUUCUUUCUUUUCUUUCUCGAUCUUAUUACGCUUUCACAACGAAAGGAAAAGGAAGAGCACUAUGUCUUCAUUCUUCCAAUGCUCACCACUGAUAUGAUAUGCCCUGGAAAAAAGCUUGAUAGAAAGAUUCCAUUCUCGAUAGAGCAAGCUGAGGAACACCUGCACGUACGAAAGGAACCAAGACUCGGGUUUUCUUGUUUCAUAGCUAUAGAAUUCCAUUAAGGUUCUCGUUAGAUGGUCUAAUGGAUAGGACAGAGGUAUAAUAGUUCUUUGCUCUCUAUUCUUAGAAAGAAGGAGUUAUAGUUCCAGUUCAAGCACUCCAGAAAGAAGCAACGGAGAAAGAAGGAAGGAUACAUCGUGUCAACAAUCAGAAUUGCACUAAGUAGCAUGGGAAUCAAAGACAGUAAUUUCAGAGUGGAAACCCAGAGGAUAGGAAUGUAACCACUGCAGACUUUGACUAAUGUUUCCGAAACUUGAACUCGUAUUGGUAAGGCUUGAAUGGCUAACACCAAUGGAAAGAACCAAACUGGUAAGUAGGAGAAUGAAAUCACCACUAAUGAAUGAGAGAACUACUAAUAAGAGUGGAACAGGGGCAUGAAACCAAUGCAAGUAAGAGUCCAACAGCUAACGAUUAUCCUAGCACUACUAGCCUCGAACCUUGCUCUAAUAGCUUUAGUUCUUGAACCACUACCUUUGGAUCUUGCUCUGCUGACGCUGCCCUUGCUUUAUUGAAGUCCUCCGAUCCGCUCUUGAUGGCUGUUACUCUACCCUCAAUGCCUAUGUUCUAGGUUCCAACUGAACUGCCCUUUGAAUAAAUAAAAGAAUCAAGAAAGAAACUACCGAUAAAAAGAAUAACCUUCCUUCCUAUUGGUCAGUAUCCAUUGAUCCGGAUCCUUGCUUCCACAGAUCAGUACACCUAUAUCCCCUAACAAAGUCUACCGCUACUAUCUCUAAUACCUUAACAAGCAACAGGGAAUUCACCAGUGCCCAAUCAGACUGAAAUACAGAAUACACAGUAUACCAAUAUGAAACUACAAUAUCAAUAGUAGAAAUCGAUAAUGAAAUGGGUACUAUAAGCAUGGAGCAGUGUCUACAAGCUGUGAAACAAGAAAGAAGGGAAUUUCGCUACCGGUAUCGAGGUUCGAGCCCAUAAUAGAGAGAAUGAAAGGAGUUCGAAUUUAAAGAAUACAAAUAAGAAGUAAGGUACGCCCCAGUGCUUCUAGUAUGAAGGGAACAUUUAGGGUACGACCAGUGAGUGCAUAUAGAUUAAGCGGAAGUAGUAGAUCAUAGAAUCCAAACUCAAAAGUCAGGGCAGCAAAGCAGCUGGUGAGUAAUAAGGAAAGUCAGGUUCCAACUCAAAAGUCAUAAUAUGCUACACCCAUAAAACAGAACAUAGAUCACUAAGAAAUUCGACUAUAUGUCAAAAGGCAAAAUCGGAUAAAUGGAUGGGUUUGGUUUAGGUUCAGCAGCGAAAGUCCUAUUGGCAGUCUAGUCUUAGAAGCGCUAGGACAAGUCUGAGUUGUGUGGUUAAGUAUGCUAGGGCCGCUACACUCUUUUGGGGAUUUGGGUUUUCGCAGCCUUGGGAGCACUUAUGCAAUUCUAUAUUCUAAGAGAAAGUCUCAGUAGGCGCCAUUUGAGUUUGGAUGCAAUAGAUAGGGAGUUGAGAUCCGCAGCUACAGAACGAAAGCGAGGGGUACCGGCUUUGAAGCAGCGAGAGACAGCCCUGAUAAGAGAUAUCAGAUUUGAAGUAAGCCAGAGCAGACUCAUGUGCAAUGUCGCAAGGUUCUAGGUAAGUCAAGUAAAAGGAAGGUAAAAGAGUGAGAAACUCGCUUUAGUUGAGACAGUAGGAAAGCCUGGGUUCCACGUAUAGGUCUUGUUAGCAUUAGUUCAAAGAUGAUACUUACUACCUACCUACAUUAUGUAUUCUUGUAUCGAUUCCUAGAAGCUGGAGUUUAUAGGCCCUGUUGUCGUAGGUGUAUUCUAAUAUGGUAUCCCCCUCAUAGUAGCAUUUGAGAGCAAGUAAAGCAAGGCGUCGUGGGCAUUAGUCAAUUCUUGAUAGUUGCAGUAUCAUCCCUUCCAGCACUGAUUGAAUUCCCAGUUAAGUGGGUAAGUCCUAUAAGCACUAGUUUCUUUCUUAGUAGUUAGGGGUCCAGCCCAACUCUUCAUUAAAGUCAAGCAAGAUCCGAGUUAACAGUCAAAGAGUCAGAGAUAUGGUUGUAAGAGUGAAAGACAGGAUCGGUAGGCUAAGAAACAAGCAAACGAGGUUCGAGUUCGGUAAAGCAAGAUUAGAUGUAAGUAAGGGAGGUCUUAUUGCAGUUGAUUUCUUUCCAUCAGUAGGUCCAUUCUUUUUAGUAGUUCUAUCAGCUUUUCUCACAGUGGUUGGAUCCCCUGUUAGGGAAGAAUCCUUACUAAACGCCCUCCAAGGGAAGACUUAUGGGCCAGGCAUAUCAGAUUUUCAUCAAGUAAAGGCAGACUCACUGGCAUUAGUAUCCGGUUGGAACCCUGUGGUGUAAGAAUCAAACACUAAAGAAAGGUCUAAAGCAAGGGAAGGGAGCCUAUUAGUAAUAGCAGUGGUGUUCUCAUAGUGGUAAGGCGUUCUUUUAUAGUAGCUUGGAUUCCCGGGGUGGAGCUAUAUCCUUGUUAUAGCAUCAGCUCUAGUGUUUGAGGUUCUCUUCUUGCUAUCGGUAGUUGAUUCUCUAUUAUGAGACUAUGAAUGGGGAUCCCCGGUAGUAAGAGUGAGAAACAAGCCUUAAAGGCAGGAAAGGUGGACUAAGAGGAAGGAGUCACAGCCCUUCUAUUCGUAGUUGGACCCCAGAGGCCAAGGAGCCUAGUACCGAUAUACGGGAUAGUAAUAAUUUGAGUAAGUAGCAACAGCCCUAUAAUUCGUGGUAGAAGAAUCAAUACAGAGGGAAUAGAGUCUCAAAAACGAAUCUCUAUUCUAAGGUAGCUCUUUAUAAGUGUUGUAUUCGACUGUUGCUUUCGGCGGUAGUGUCUCUUGCUCUAUUGCUGAUGGGCACUUUCCCUUAAUCUGACUAUCCAUACCUCAAUUCUGUAGUUAAUGAUCUCAAAUCUGUACCCGCGCUACUGGUGCCUGUAAAGUGGGCAGUCGGAAUAAAACAUAGAAAUAAGAAAGAAACCCAGCAGCCCUUUGUUCUGUUCCCCUGAGGAUUAUAGCCUUACAAUCCCUUCUUUCAUCCUUUUAGUAGGUCAGUAAUUCGUUAUUAUAGGCUUAAUGAUGAGAAGCACUAAAAUAGUGUAGCAGCCCCACCAUAACUUAUACUUUGAUUCUAUAGCAGCUGAUUCGGAUCAUUGCUUUACUUGCUUCUAAACUAAACUAGUGCAAUACAAUACUUUAUACUAGAACUUGGAAUUGGGCUAACGUCAAUACCUUAACUCAAACCUAGGGAUCGAACCACUGAUCCGGAUCUCUACUUGCUAGCUCGGGUCUGCCUCUCUGGAAUCUCAAUCUUAUAUUCCCGCCUUUUAGGCUGCUGCUACUAAACUAGUAUAAGACUCACCUUUGCUGCUCAACUCCCUCUGCUUUUCCUAUACCUAAAUAUGACUUUCCUGUCUCUUAUAUAAGAAGAAAAGAACCACUUAAGGAUAUAAACCUUACUUUCCUUACUAUAUCCUUGUAGCAUUCUGACUUCACUUACCUUUCCACCAAUACACUGCCCGGAGUCUCAUACCUUAUCUUAUACAAUACAGAUUCGAACGACUAUCUAGAGUGCAUGCAACUACUAACUAUAAGUCAUAAUAAAAGAAUCCUGAGUUGAGGCACCCGACAAGGAAUACAUCUACAAGUGGAAAGGCUGAUACCACUGAAAACAAAGUGCGAACUAAUACUUAGCAUAUUGAGAAAAGAAUCCAGGAAUAUGAGAAUGCAUCUAAAACAAAUAGGGCUGAAAUCACUGCUUAUGGUAAUCGAACAAGGACAUAAGAAGUACAAUAUAGGCACACGCGAACAAGGAAAAGAGUCAAACAAGGAAUGCAAGGCAGUAUUAAAGCAAGUAAAGAAUCCAAAUCGACAAGCAACAUUAGUACACAAAACCGGACUUGAGCUGGAGAGCGCUAACAGCUAUUCUUAUUCUUGAUAAAUAGAAACGGAUCUCUAGCUUUACGCCCCUUAACCUCAAUUGACCUUCCUCGCUUGCAAUCUGUCCUUUCGCCCCAACUAUAUGGAAUUGACUUAAUGGAAUUUACCUAUAGGGUUUAGGCACGCAAAAAGGGAAGAAUCAACUUCAUGGGUAUAGUACUUUCCAGAGCAAAUACAGAAUUGACCUCCUAAGUGUAGUAAUCGUAGUGGCAAUAAGGAAUGGGGUAAGUAAGUAUAAGAAUGAGUUGGCGAUAAGAGGGUAAGAAGCUAAGCAGGGGCAAAGUCAUAAUGGAACUAUUGAAUCUAAUAAUGGAGCUCGAACUACUUUACUUUAACUCGAACACGGGAAUGCUAGUUAUGCCAAUAAGAAAUGAGCUAGGUUUGGGCAAGAAGGAACACUAGGCUUGCUUGGUUGAUUGGGCAAGAGGUAGAUCCAAUUCCGUAUUUCUAUUCUCAGUAUUGGAGCUAUGCCCGGUAUACUGUAUUACUAGAUGGAUUCCUGGGUUUUCGUUUACGUCUUCUACUUAGUAGUUAAAGCCCUGUUUCGAGUUAUAUUGUUAGAUGCACUGGCAAUGUAGUAUUAGGGCCUAAGAAAAAGAGUCAGUUAAGUAUCAGACCUUUCACUAGCAAAUAAGGAUCAAAGGUAUAAGUAGCGGAGUAGAGCUCAGGUCUAGUAAUAAAGAAAGUCAGGAAGGGAGGACCUGCACUGGAGCAUUGAAACCUUGGUCAUUAGAUUGCUUUUUGAAGCUAACUACUAUGGGUGGAAGGCUAAGGAGAAAGGUCAAAAGAUAGGUUUAGAGAUCAGAUGUGAAUAAAGCAAGGUAAGCCUGAUAGAAAGGAUAGCAAGUCUGGAUCUCGAAAUAAAGGAAUGGAAGGUUCAAAUGUAGGAUUUAGUGCUAAUAGUUAUAGUAGUCCGAGAAGACUAAUAGGUAGGUGAUAUAAUCUAGGGCAUCUAGUAAUGGACUAAGAGUGGUCAGCAUCUGAAUUGAACUCGUAAGUAGCCUAAGCUAGAGCAGUUAGUUUACUUAAACACAUAAGUCAAUGGAAUAAUUAAUAUACAUGCAAAGAAUCAUCAAUAAGAACAAAGAAUACAAGGGACAAAUACCGAUUUGGAUGUCAGGCAGUAACGAUGUUAGGCAGUGGAGGUAAACUCAAUCUAGCAAGUAAGGAUCAUAGACAGCAAAGUGAGACUACUAUGUUGGUGCUGAAGGGGACAAUAUGAGAAUGAUAGCCGGGAAGGGGAGAGUUCAAGUAACGAGUCAGGAUGCGAGGAAGUAGUCAAAGAGUCAAAGGGGGUCAAGUAAGCAUCAAAGACAGGGGAUAGAAGCUAAGAUAAGGUAAAGCCAUCCCUUGGACCCAGUAGGGCAGGCGGAGUUCCGAGCGAGUCACUACUACAGUUACGAGAAGUAGAGCGAAAGUAGAAGCAAGUAAUACUUAUAUUCUUUACUAUUGUAUUGGUUCCACUAGUUAUUAGCGUAAGAGUGUUCCCUGGUCAAGUAUUAUUUGAUAUGAUGAGUUAAUAUACAGUAAUUUCGGUUUGAGUUCCAUAGUGCCCUAACUUCGCUAAAGAGUUUAGGUAGCUUUGAGGUAGGUCGCUAAAGAAUGAGUUCCCAUAUAAUAUUUAUAAGUAGUAGUUGGCUCCCGAGUCAUGAGUUCAAGUAAUACCCCAGUUCCGAGGUUUGUUCUUGUUUAUGGUAGUUUGGCUCCCAGUUCCAAGUAGAAGUCCUGUUUUGAUUAGUUCGAGCCUUGUAUCGCGUCUCGGUUAUGUAGUUCACCCAUUUCGAUCUUAGGCUCCUUAACCCGAUUCUUUAGCUCUGGUUUUAUAGUAUGUCACUACCGUAUCCAAUUCUACUACUCUAUCUCUAUGGUUUCAUUUUACCUCACCUUAGCUCUGCCUUUCCUCGCUUCUCUAGUAUUACUUGCCUGUUGAUCACUCUUUGCAUUACUUGCUCUAAACUGAAAUGACUCAUAGCUAUCCUUUAGCUCGACUGUUAGGCUUACUUUCAAACCGCCAAGCACCUUAAUUCCUUAUUUAUGGAUUCAUUCUUUUACUCACUGCUUCGAUUCUUCUACUUAUUCUAGUUCCAUUCUAACUACUACCAAUAUAAGCCUUAGAUCUCAUAUAACAACAUAGGUGCCCGGGCCCGGUACCCUGACCUUCUUUCCUUUCUUCUUAGGUUGAUGCCACUGAGCUCAUUCUUAGGUUGAUGUCACUGAGUUGUUGUCCUGUGGUUAAGAGACAGUAAAGUCAGCUUGAUGGACCGGAGUGGAAGAAAGAGCGAGGGGUAGCUCAUAUGGAGAGUAACAAAAGUCAGGCCCGUGCUCUUGUUUCGGCAUUGCCAGUCGUAGUGGCAGAGCUAACCUAUAUGAUAUGGAUUCUUCAACUCAUGGGUAUGGUCUAGCGCACCUACUAGCGAUAGUCCACCAACUUAGGUUUACAAACCAAGUCAGAAUCAAAGUCAGUAACUACAGAAUAGGAGUAAGGAGAGACAUAGCUAUAACGAGGCCCAAAGCGAGGAGAUCCAUACUAAGAGUAAGUAGUUGGAAAGGGUGCACUAAGGCACAGUAUCCGUUUUCAAGCGCGGAGGAACAGGCUAACUCGUCUGGUUGGUAAGCAAGAAUGCAAGUAACCAGUAUAAGAGUGAACUGACGGAGUAAGAGAGGAGAGUUUCACUCGUAUUAGUACAAUCCAAACUGGGACUGUGGGUGCGCGCCUAUAAAGACUGAACCUCGUAGUGAAUAGGAAUUUCCCUAAUUGGGAUAAGAAUCUCGCCACUGAGGUGGACUUACACUAGUGUUUUUUAGAAUCCAACUCGCCUUAUAUACAAGUUCGCGGAAGAAACCUUAGUUUUAGAAGAAUCGAACUUGAGAAUAUAGCACCGACGCCCUGCCCUGUCUAUCAUACCCUUACUAUCGUUCUGCAUUGCACCUAUUAGUCUACCAUUUCUUGUUUCCAUCCUUUCCUUUGAAUCGCCCUCUUUCAUUAUUAUAUGGUUGAGUCCACACGCUUAGGUCUUUUUCUGGCCUUAGCACUAUACUUGGAAUUCUGACUAUCCCUAACACAAGCACUAUACUCGUUCUUGUAAUUCUUCUGAUCGUAGUCUUACUUGACUUACUCCAAGGCAGCCCCUCCCUUAUCUAAUUCAGUUAUUCCAGGGGACUUGAACCUAAAAGCGCAGCUGCCAAGACUUGGGCUACAGCCAAUAAGGAUGAAAACACCGCUAACAAUACUUACGCUAUCGCCUUGUUCUACUGGCUAUCACUCUUACUACCCUGGCUUUUAGUCUUUCACUCAUGCAGGUAAUACUAGAUCUUUGACAAAAGGAACUGAGCUACUGAUAACCAGGCUGAAAACAAUGACCAUUAGAAUACCGCUACUACAAUAGGAUUUGGACUACUCAUAAAAGCCUACCUUACCCCCUACUAUUAGAAGGCUAUUAGGUAUUAUAAUAAAGUAGUGCACUAACGAAUCGAACUAAUGCUUUUAACGAACCGAACUAAUGCUUUUAAGUCCGUAUGUAUCACCAACUCUCGGAGUAAAAGAAAGGGAUCUAAGAUUUUCAUAAAAGUAGGUCAGGCUCGGAUCAAGGCGGGGCGGACAAAAUCUACUAGUACGGAUGUGAGGUCAGUAAGGAAAGUCCUAUAUUCAGUGUUCGAUCUGAGAGUGAGUAGUGAAAGCUCGGGUUAUGAGGUGAAGUCUCUUAUUAGCUAUAGUUCAAGUAUGAGGUUGCUUCCCACACUAACACUAGUUCCAUUCGGAUACUAACAACUCUAUUCUUAUUGCCUCGGCGCAUACUUAUUCUAAUGGACUUCCGAGGGGAUUGGAGGCAGGUUUUGCUCGUAGGCAGCAAAGUCAGAAUCUAUAUUAAGUAGCUAAAGCCUAAUCAGCAAUAGUGCAAUCCUUACUGGUAUCGGUUUUACCUGGUUCAUUUCUUCCCUUACAGGACUUAUCGCUACUCUAGAUAAAACAACCACAAGUCGGGAGCGAAAGGCAGGAAAGCAAGAGUUAGCCCAAAGGGUCAAGAAAGAAAGUAAGUGGAGGCAUACUUAUAGGCGCUAGAGCAAGCCUCGUUCCCUGGAGGAGAAGCGCUAAUUUCCUUUUGCAUUCCUUCUGGUAUUGGUUCAAUUCUCGUAGUUGGCCCUUUAGUAUGAGAAGUACUGUUUCUUUGUUUCAGCCUAAUCGUAUAGCUAGUAAUUCUUUCCAGUAGCGGUGAAAGCCUUAUUAGUUUGUGUAGGGUAUCAGUAUUGUCAGCACCAGUUCGAUCCACAAGAAAUAUAUUAGUUAUUUGAACACUAGAACAGCAUUCAUUGGGUUUUAUAGGCUCGAACACUGCCUUAACAGACACCAAUGUGGAUAUGGAUUUACAGAGAAGAAUUGAGUCUUCUAUUCUUGGUCCACUACCUUCGCUUCGAGACGAACUGCUUCAAUUGGACGACAUUAGAGCCUGCAGUCAACAUCAAUAAAAACUUGAUCCGUUAGCGCUUUGCCCCAAUCAGUAAUUAGACUUCACCCUCACCAGAUUCAUUAUCCAGAUUCAUUAUUCUGGUCAACACCUUUUAUUGCUGCUUCAGAUCCUGAUCUAGCUUCGACUUAUUCUCGAGUCGAUGUAUACUUUCCUUCUUCCGCAUUUGACCUUGCUUGUUCUUUUGCUUCAUUACUUGAAAAACACUGUUUCUUUAGAAAGAUAAGAGUAUAGUUGUCAACCCGGAGACAGUUGAGUUGAGUUAAGGCAAGCAAGAAGAGCUACGAGCUACCAGGCGAUAGGGAGUUUUGAGUUCAUAUUGAAGCUUUUCUUUUUAGGAGUAAGCAGUCAGGUUAGCGAGAACAAACAAGCCGCUUACGGAGCUCCCUAUUAGCUUAUUGAGCUCUCUAUUAGUAUAGUUUUCAUUGGGCUGGGCUUCUUUCUCGUCUCCAGACCUAUACUCAGAACUGUAUUAAGGACCCAUAGAUGAUGUUAUAGUUCAUUGACGGCCCCUCCCCUAUUCUGGUUCACUCACUGACCCGUUAGCGCACAGAAUGCACUUUGUAAACUCUAAACUAGACCCCAUGACUUAACGCCCUUCCAUAUGAAGCGCCCUUAACUACAAGUCCGUUCUUAACCCUGAAUUCUCAUGGACUUUUCACUUGCACAUAAAGAGACUCAUCACACAAUCAGCAUUCAAAUCAUUCCGAAACUCCAACUGCUUCUAUAUACGCCAACUAAGGUAAAGUGAAAAACAGAAUAGCUCUCUCUACUGGGCGCGGAAGAAUCAGAAGUUAUCUACUUGUAUUCAGCCCCGAGCCGACCCAGAGCUUAAAGAUGUUCACAACAACCCGGAAUUGGAUUCUUAUGAUUCCUCAUCGAACUCCCUAUCAACGAAAACGAAACUUGUUUUGACCCAUACCCAUGUUCAAGGGCUACUUACUUACUUCAAUUUGCGGAUUCUGUUGUUUCUUCUCCUGAUCCAUAUCUUUCUCCUUUUUAUGAUCCAGUGUUACUUUUGAUACAGAUCCAGCAGAAAGGCAAUUAGAUCCAUCAGUCCAUUCUCUACUGGGCUAUCCGACCUCUAAAGACUUUGAGCUAGAGCACCGAACUCUACCUUCUCUUUUUUCUGGAUUGGCUUGUUCAAACAUGAUCUUAUACAAUAUUUGCGAGUAGUGAAACGUUAUCUUAUACAAUAUUGGAAAGUCGUUUUUUAGAGUAACUUGGUCUCAAAACAGCUCUCGUUUUUUGUACUUGAUAGCUCCUUGUGCAUGACCUAAAGACCGAGUUAAUUACUGCUCAAAGAAUAGGUUAUGUUACUGGAAGGCUUAGUUAACGUAUAACUAAAGAAGAAUGCGAUGAGACCCAGCACUUGAAGAAUUUAUUGUUAUACUGAAAGAAUGAGUAAACCACCUUGAUUGCAGGGAAUUUGUUAAUAACCCACCGCAGCAACACGGUACUGCUUGAAGUGUUUUUAGUAGUCGUAUUGGUCUUUGUCCGGCUCAAUUCCCCACCGGUGGGAGCUAUUCUAGGUGGUAUCAGAUCGGUUCAAGUCAGAUUGGUAGCGGUGUAAUUCCCUGUUACGAGGUUGGUUCCCUCUUUUGAGUUGGGUUCCCUAAGUCAUUCAUCUAGGUAAGGCUGAUCGACAUGAUAGUAAGUCGUAUAAGUGAUAUAAAAUAAUAACACUAUAAAUACAGAACGAAAGCACUAUCAAUACAGCAUUAAAGCAAAGGAGUAUAAGUUCUAAAGUCAAGUAUAGAGUCUAGUCCUAGGGAGUAAUGAAUAAGAAUAAUGAAUAGGAAUGUUAGGUUGAUGCUCUAGCGCAUGGCAGAGGUUUUCAAUGACAAUUAGAAAUCGGAAUUAGAAGUAUCAGUUCGGGAGGCUAGCUUUAAGAAGAAAAGUAAGGAAGAGCAGACUAGUUCCGUAGGGGGUCCGAUCACUAUUUAAAGGAAUCCAAUUCAGUGGAUACAGAACUAGAGAGGGUAGCCAAAGACUCCAAGGUAUAAGCAGUAAGUAGGCGAAAAGACAGGAAUGGCAGGCGGAAUUCGAAUGGGCUUUCGGGGUAGUGGGUGAUUCUGAUAGUGAAAAGAAUGCUAGUGGAAAUAGAUACUUUAAGGAAGGGGUGAGUUUCAGAAUAAGAUCCAGGGGUGUCAGCUUGCAAGUAAAGAUAGAUAGGGGAGAUAGACUGAUCUAGGAAGGUAGUAAGAGCGGUAAACGGGCGAGUAAGCUUUGAGGUGGAUCACUACAGAAUAAAAACUGGGUAAGGGAAGCUAAAAAAGCGCCCAGCAGAAGGAGACUCCAAGUAAGUAAAGGCAAGCUCAAAACAUUAUGUUGUUUUUAGAGAUAGAGAAGCGGAUGUCGUCUCAUAGAUAGGGUAGUUGACGGAUGAGAAACGCCAGUGGGAAAGUAUGGUUCCCAUUAGUGCAAUUCUUGUUUAUAGUCAUUACUUGUCUAGUUGCUUGGCGACUUCAAAGCUUUCUCUACUUGUCCGAAACGAAACCUUGCUUGACUUUCUACGAUCCUUACUUCUUUGUUGAAAACUUAUACUCCUGUCUUUCAUUACUUAGUCCUAGCCUGCCCCUCUAUGCUUGCUUCCAAACUGGCAUUACCCUAUUUCCAUUCUGUAGUUACUGAUCUAGAGCCUUGCUUUACUCCCCUUAAGUCGGUAGUUCACCUACGAGUCCGCCCUCUUUAUCAAUACCUUGUUUCUAGCUCUGUAGCUGCAUUUACUGCCGCAUAACAAUAGUAGUCACUUUUCUGGUAGAACCUUGCUUUACUCUAUCUCAUUACGCAACUGACUUAACUUCUCUCACGCCACUCUCACGCUGCUUACUCAUAUUAAGAGUGGGAGUCUUACCUCUCUUUGCUUUGAAACUGAUACUUAUGCUAGUGAGUCUGUCCUGACUUACGGACUUUUGGCCUUACUUUACUGUCUAUCUGCCCGACACCCUUGAUAUCAAACUAUAGCGAUACAGACAUUAAGUAUUACUUCACUUUAUAUAAAUCCCGAAGUUCACCUACUAGCCUAGAUCUCGUUCUCUAACUACUGAUCUAGAUCUUUGUUUCUUAGAAUCGAAUAUCCCUUUCCUUUCUUAUAGUCCUGCUAUGCUUCUUAUAGCGUUAGUCCGCCUAUCCUUAUUGGAAUUCUAUGACUAGUGGCUUGCAACGAUACUUGAAACUUGUGAUGGGCCACCUCUCCUUGGUUAAAACCUAUAACUCCUGGUGCGAGGAAAAUCAAUAAGUUCUGUUGCAGCAAGCGGGUCUGGGUCUGUGUCGUCUUUCUGAAGCGAGGUGUACUGAAUACGAGAGAGGUGCUUCUGAAGCUAAUGUCAUUUGUUUACUCGGUACAUAAGCGGUACAUAAGGAAGUUUACUAAGCAAAGUAGGAAAGUCCAGGAAUUAUUACUUGAACUUAUGGCCCUAUUUCUCCAUUUGCUAUCAGGCAAGUAACUACUAAUGACCAAGCAACUACUAACUAUAAGACUGAAACCACUAACAAGCAAGCCUGAAACCACUAAAGAUAGGGCUUGAGAGACAAUAAGUAAAGAGUUGCACCUAGUCGGGGUUAACUCAAAGGUCGGAGCCAGAGAUAUGGUUGCCAUAGGUAAGAGAAGCAGUCUAAAUACGGUGUUCCUGUUUUAAAGCAAGGAAAGGUAGUUGACAGUUCUAGUUAUCAAUCAAGUAAGCAGCAAGCGGGCUAGUUCCAAAAGAAGUAGGGGCGGGGUGCCUAUUGCCUAUCAUGUGUUUAGUUAAGGGUGGUUGACUUACUUGGUUUACUUACUUCAAUGGACUAGCUAACCUGCCUCUCUUUACUCCCGGGUUUAGUCUGAAGUUUACAAGUAGUAGGGCUUGGUCUGCUGGGACAUAGAAUAGGGCGUUGCUUGGCUGCUUGGCCCGGGCUUUAGACUUACUUGCCCCAGGUGAACUCUUGGACUCCCGCUUACAGGCCUUACUUGCUUUAAGCCUGCGACUCCUAGGUCAAAACGGACAUUACUUAUUUGAAUUAUAAGAAUGAGAUCCCAACAACGUAUAUAAGAAUAUUCGUGUUAUUGGUAAAGAUGAUGAAAACAGCUCCUAGGGAAUUCCACUCCAAAGUCAGAAUAACUGGGUAGUAGCAAAGUGAGAGGUGGCAUUUACAUACUUCUAGAUUUACAUACUUACAUAGAUAGUAAAUAAAGGCUAAGUUCACAGCUUACUGCCGAGAAGUACUAGUUUGCAUUCCAGUUCUCCAUGUGGGUGUGUAAGUUGAAAAGCGAGUAAGGCAAGGUUCGGUUUCCGGGUAAGGAGAAUGAUAUAAGAGAAGUUCAGGUUGAACCCAGCAAGUAUAAGGCUCUAACAUAGGAAUGCCAGGUUGAACCCAGCAAGUAUAAGGCUCUAACAUAGGAAUGCCAGGGCGAACUAAAGCAUUGAAGGCGGGAGUGACAGAGUGAAAACCAUACACUUUAUUUAAGCUAGGGGAGUGCCAGGUCAACAACCAAACAUCAGAAUGGAAGACAGGGCAGUGAGAAUGAGAGAAAAUACUAGCGGACUGGUAUUUAGUAAAGUGAAGACCAAUAGCAAGUAAGGGCAGACUGACAUACCGGGGGAAAGUCUAGUUAAACAAUAGAGUCGGAAUUAGGUUCAGCAGCUUCCGUUUAAGAGAAAAUAAAGGCUGGCUUGUUAUCGGUGUUUAAAGAAUGUAGCUAAGUAGGGGAAGGGUUAAGCUCUCGAGUAAGGCAGGGUUAGUUGUUGUAGCAAGUAAGGCUUUGUUAUUGUGUUCGGGGUCAGAGGCUUCUACUGAUCAUAUAAAUGAACUUGAAAUACUCUUAUAAGAGAAUAGACUUUCGAUUGUAUUAAUCUAAUUUCAUAUAAUAUGGAAUUUCAUAAAGGAAAGAGGGAAUGAAAGCACUAUCAAUACAGAACGAACCAAGCAAGGACAGACGAAAGGAAAGGCUGCUUAGGUAAGGCGGUAAGCCAGCUUUAGGUGCCCCGGGUAUAAGAUUGGAAGUCAGUUAGUGGAUUCCCAGUUGCCUGUUGAAGCAUUGCUAGCUGUGGUUCGAGCCUUUGAAAAUGGAUAUAGUAAGGCUUUGUCAGUUGCCGGAGCCAUUAAGGCUUUAUUCGCCUUAGUAGUGGUUGCCCAGUCUCCGGUUUCUCUUAAGAAUUUGACAAGUAAGUAUUAGAAUAUAGUUUACUUACCACUCCUUCUCGAUAGUAGGAAUUACCGCUCCUUCUCGAUAGUAGGAAUUUGCCAGGUAUUCUAGAAGUAGAAGAAGGUGACCUUUCCGCUCGCUACCGCCCUAAACACUGGACUUACAUAGGUAGAUGAGAAAGAGUGAAAAGAGCCAAAGCCUUUACUUGACCUCUCGCUGAAAAGCCGGUAAAAGUGAUGUAUUCAACCUCUACUUCUGCAUUUCACUUAAGGGCUGCUUCCGUACUUUCUACAGCCUCCACAGCCUCUGCUGCUUUAGUGGAAUUAUUUUAGUCAAAAUGAGUAACAAGAGUAUCAGUUGCAAGAUCAGAGGAGAGGCGCAGAUAUAUAAGUGUCACCAUCUUUAGAGUAGUUUCCUGAUACUUAACUACGUAGUGGGCUGGGCAUGAGAUUCGAGAGGAUCUUCAAUAUACCGAACAAAAGACUUGCUCAUGGCACAACAUAGUAACACAUACUCAAAAUGUGGACUUGGUUCGAAAUGUGGACUUGGUAAUAAAGAGAAAAUACUUACAUCAUUCUUGUUACCCGCUCAGCUUAAUAGGUAUAUAAGUAACCCAACCGCCAAGCAUAUACUAAACUCCCCGGAUUCUGUUUCUUAUCUGUCAACUGAGUCUGGACCUGGCAAUACGGACUUUACUGGCAUGACUUAACGCUUUCUGUCCCGAACUAACUCUAUCUGACUUGCCCACCUAUAGCGAGCUUCUGAAUCUAACUCUGUCAACUGUGCCUCUUGCCAUGGAAUCAGUAACUCUCUUUCUAUCCCUCGCUACUUUCCCAGGAUUCAAUGACCACGACCACUACUUGGUGGAAACCCUUAUUUCUCUCGAACUACAUCUUCUUAAGGGCCUGUACGGGCAACUCUAACUGGCAAUUCUCUUUGAGUGAAUGAACCCCGACCCUAACUCGUAUACAAGGGGAAAGCCCGAAACUAAUUAUAGAGGCCUCCACUGUUACUACUUAGUGCAAUUCUCACUUUCUAACUGGAAAAGGACUCUCAUCUACUUCUCCGUAGUAAACAAAUACUUUCCUCUAGCUAUGAAAUCAGUCAAAGAAAUAAGUAACAUCAGUCACAGCACAGCUAAAAGAAUGAAACUCGCUACUCUAAACUACCCUCUCUAUCACUACUGGCUCGGCUCCUAUAACUCUUGCUAAUUCUGAUGUUUCUUACCUUGGAGUUACCUUCCUCCUGUCCUACCACUGAGUUGAAUUCCCUUAUUACGAAAGAGUACCUUGUUUAGUAGUACCUUGUUUAGUAUAUACUAGGCGGGGGGCGAGUGGAGUCUAGUAGUCCUGUGGGGAAGUCAACUAUAUUCUUAAAUUCAAUUGCAGAGUAGCGGGAAGUCUAGACUACUACUAGUGGGGGCAUUUCACAGUACUGUAGUAGCGCGGCAGGUUGGUUGGUUAUAUCUCUUAUAGGGAGCAGAGAGGAGCACUAGGGGCAGUAAGUCAACUAUAGCCAUAACAGUUUGAAAUGUCAUCUUUCUUUGAAAUUACAUCUUUUUGAAAUGACAUCUUCUAAUAAGAACGGAAAGAGACCUGGCUCAAGAACGGAAAGAGACUCCGCUCAAGCAAAGAGUAUUCUAUUGGCAGCCUCGCCCUAUAGUAAAGCACAGAGACCAGAGGCACUAUCGAGCACCCGCUAAGUAACUACUAGUAUGACUUACUCGGUUAAAGCAAAGGAGAAAGCCACGAGUAUAUAAGUGCAAGCCAACACCCUUCUUUUCGAUUACUUAGUUAGCGGGCUGUAUACAAACCUUUCUUUUG